rnacentral:rRNA from 1 species
CGAACGGGUGAGUAACAUGUGAGUAACCUGCCCACAACUUUGGGAUAACGCUAGGAAACUGGUGCUAAUACUGGAUAUGUGCUCCUGCUGCAUGGUGGGGGUUGGAAAGCUCCGGCGGUUGUGGAUGGACUCGCGGCCCAUCAGCUUGUUGGUGGGGUAGUGGCCUACCAAGGCGGCGACGGGUAGCCGGCCUGAGAGGGUGACCGGCCACAUUGGGACUGAGAUACGGCCCAG